rnacentral:rRNA from 1 species
GUGGGGAAUUUUGGACAAUGGGCGCAAGCCUGAUCCAGCAAUGCCGCGUGCAGGAAGAAGGCCUUCGGGUUGUAAACUGCUUUUGUACGGAACGAAACGGUCCGGGUUAAUACCCUGGGCUAAUGACGGUACCGUAAGAAUAAGCACCGGCUAACUACGUGCCAGCAGCCGCGGUAAUACGUAGGGUGCAAGCGUUAAUCGGAAUUACUGGGCGUAAAGCGUGCGCAGGCGGUUUUGUAAGACAGGCGUGAAAUCCCCGGGCUCAACCUGGGAAUUGCGCUUGUGACUGCAAGGCUGGAGUGCGGCAGAGGGGGAUGGAAUUCCGCGUGUAGCAGUGAAAUGCGUAGAUGUGCGGAGGAACACCGAUGGCGAAGGCAAUCCCCUGGGCCUGCACUGACGCUCAUGCACGAAAGCGUGGGGAGCAAACAGGAUUAGAUACCCGUGUAGUCC